ensembl:antisense 5430402O13Rik RIKEN cDNA 5430402O13 gene
AGGAUGUGCCCAGAGGGCGCCCUUCCUUCAGAGGCCUCGUUUGCCCGACACUUACGACAGGCCUUAGGACGUAAGGCGUGGACGUGCGUGACGUCACCCUCUGGCCUGCGAGAUGGCGAGGGCAAGUAGCGGGGCCGUUGCUCCCUUGGGAUCCGGGUGUGGCUCGGCUCAGGUAACGCCUGGCCCUGAGGACUCCUUCGGCCUCUGCCCACGGGGAGUGCUGAGACCGCCGGCCGGUGUGCUGGCGACCUUUACCCAGGCUUGGUCAAGGCUUCCUGGCUGGCGCAACUGCACUGGCCUCGCAGUGGACGCCUGCUGGUGACCUUUACUCUGUUAAACCAUCUUCCUGCUCUCCCAGUGAGAGCCUCAAAGCUGGGGAAGUGAAUGGAUGAACUGGGAGAUGUCUGACUCGACUUAGAAUUUCUGAAGCAUGCACACUAUGGCUAAGUUUCAGACUGAAAAGCCAGAAAAAACAGGUAGAAGUUACAAGAAAGAAAAAGUCUUUUUAGAAACACCACAAAGAAAAUGAUCAACAAUCAAGAACAGACAAAAGCAGAAUGGAUUGGCUGUGUGGAAGGUUUUUGUUUUAUGAGUGUGUGUAUAUGCAUGACUGUAUGUAUGGUACACGUGUGUGCAGUUGCCCUAGGAGGCCAGGAGAGGGCACUGCAUCUUCAGGAACUGGAAUUACUGGUGGUUGCAAGCUGCCUAAUGUAGGAUAUGGGAGCCAGACUCACAUCUUGAGAACCAAACUUGUGUCCGUAGGAAGAACAGCAAGUGCUCUUAACAGAUGAAGUAUCUUUCCAGCCCUACUUUGGAAGUGUUUAAACUGAGAUAAGGUGGCUUUCUGUCUUAAUUCCCUAAGAAUAAAGAAAAAAGUUUGUUGUAUGUGUUUCUACGCAGAUUGUGAAGCCAGAAGUUGACAUUAAACAUCUUCCUUGACC